GUAGGUGGCAAGCGUUGUCCGGAAUUAUUGGGCGUAAAGCGCGCGCAGGGCGGUUUUUAAGUCUGAUGUGAAAGCCCACGGGCUCAACCGUGGAGGGUCAUUGGAAACUGGAGAACUUGAGUACAGAAGAGGAAAGCGGAAUUCCACGUGUAGCGGUGAAAUGCGUAGAGAUGUGAAGGAACACCAGUGGCGAAGGCGGCUUUCUGGUCUGUAACUGACGCUGAGGCGCGAAAGCGUGGGGAGCAAACAGGAUUAGAUACCCUGGUAGUCCACGCCGUAAACGAUGAGUGCUAAGUGUUAGGGGGUUUCCGCCCCUUAGUGCUGCAGCUAACGCAUUAAGCACUCCGCCUGGGGAGUACGGCCGCAAGGCUG
rnacentral:rRNA from 1 species